GAUGAACGCCGGCGGCGUGCCUAAUACAUGCAAGUCGAGCGAACGGACGAGAAGCUUGCUUUUCUGAUGUUAGCGGCGGACGGGUGAGUAACACGUGGAUAACCUACCUAUAAGACUGGGAUAACUUCGGGAAACCGGAGCUAAUACCGGAUAAUAUUUUGAACCGCAUGGUUCAAAAGUGAAAGACGGUCUUGCUGUCACUUAUAGAUGGAUCCGCGCUGCAUUAGCUAGUUGGUAAGGUAACGGCUUACCAAGGCAACGAUGCAUAGCCGACCUGAGAGGGUGAUCGGCCACACUGGAACUGAGACACGGUCAAGACUCCUACGGGAGGCAGCAGUAGGGAAUCUUCCGCAAUGGGCGAAAGCCUGACGGAGCAACGCCGCGUGAGUGAUGAAGGUCUUCGGAUCGUAAAACUCUGUUAUUAGGGAAGAACAUAUGUGUAAGUAACUGUGCACAUCUUGACGGUACCUAAUCAGAAAGCCACGGCUAACUACGUG
rnacentral:rRNA from 1 species